rnacentral:rRNA from 1 species
GUCAGGGGAAGGUGUGUUUUAAAGGACGAUCCGCCUAUUAAUUUACCCCAACUAUGUUGGUGUAUAUCUGGUUGAAUAUUAUUGCUUAGUUGCUUGAAUUUGUGUAUUAAUAUUUAAGCUAAGUCUAUGUGCUGCAUGUUGGGGUUUUCAUGCGUUACAUUUAUAAACUUUAAUACCUGUAAUGGUUUAUAUUUUAGGACUUGAUAGUAAUACUAAAUAAGUUUGUUGGUGUGAAAGUGGUUUAGCUCAGGUACACACCGCCCGUCACCCUCGAUAUUUUU